rnacentral:rRNA from 1 species
CGGGAGGCAGCAGUGAGGAAUAUUGGUCAAUGGACGGAAGUCUGAACCAGCCAUGCCGCGUGAAGGAUGAAGGCGUUCUGCGUUGUAAACUUCUUUUAUCUGGGAAGAAACCACAGAUUUCUAUUUGUGUUGACGGUACCAGAAGAAUAAGCACCGGCUAACUCCGUGCCAGCAGCCGCGGUAAUACGGAGGGUGCGAGCGUUAUCCGGAUUUACUGGGUUUAAAGGGUGCGUAGGCGGGCUAUUAAGUCAGAGGUGAAAUCUCCGGGCUCAACCUGGAAACUGCCUUUGAUACUAUUAGCCUUGAAUUAUGUUGAGGUUGGCGGAAUAUAACAUGUAGCGGUGAAAUGCUUAGAUAUGUUAUGGAACACCGAUUGCGAAGGCAGCUGGCUAAACAUAUAUUGACGCUGAUGCACGAAA